CUGGGAAACAGAAUGAAGUUGAUCAUUUUAACAAGUAUAUGGCUGUCACCCGUAUUUGAACGCGCACGUGACAUUCUGGUAGUACUGCUGGGCUGGAGUUCAACCAAGAUAGAGACGGGAACAGAGAGAUCGAGAGAAGUGAGGACGUGGCAAGGCUACUGGGCCUGUGAUGGGUGGCGCGCGGGGCAGGGAGGAAGAAAGAACACAUAAAGAUGCCCGCCGAUCCCUACCCUGAAGAGAACGCCAGCUCGGAGAAAUCUUCCAUACUACUGUAUUGACACUCGGGGAGCGGGGCAAGAUGCGGCGGGUACGGGCGGUGGCAUAAGGCGGGAAAGAGAUCUCAAGACUACUCGUCAGAAGGAAAGUUACAACGCCGCAGGGGUACGUACUUGACGAUUACGUCAGACGAUGGCGGUUCCAGUAGGUCAAUGUUCGAAGCAGCUGCGGGUAAACGUCUUCGGUAUGUCGUCAAGGCCAACCUACCGGACAAGAGCGACGACGACGAGGUGUUCCUGACAGACAUAUAUUAUGUCCAUCAGAACGACACAUUCCCACCACACCCAACAUAGAGACUCUUACCGCCACAAGGGAAGUAGGUCGAGUCCCUUCACGAAAAGUGGCCAUCGCUGAGAAGAGCCAGAAUAUACGUUUGUGCGGCUUGAACAUUCUUAACAGAAGGGAGCCACACAACAUCCAGAACAGCGCCAUCGACAGAAGGAAGGCACUAUGAGGGAAGUAGAGGCCAGUAGCAGAGCCAAGACGUACAGCCGAUAGUUGUGAUCAUACUUGUCCAUGUACAGAAAACCUGACAUGACACCAGUUAUAGAAUUCACGGAUUGACUGACUGUUUAUAUCACGAAUAUGUAUUUUAGUGUAUACAUUGUAGUAGUUGAUUUUACAUGUAUAUGAAUGGACCGUAGAUGAAAUAACCGUUGUUUUGUGGUUUGACAAGACCUGUCUGUUUGAUACGCCAAAAUGUGACCACGAGAUAUAAUGUAUUUGUAUGACAGAUAGUCAGAGAGUAAAGAUCAGAAGAGAAAUAAAGAUCCUCAGCUAAGACCGAGGUUAGCGAGGUCAGCAUUACUAGUAUAUAGUAACGUCAAACCACCUUAACAGUCUCCCGUGCCCAGUGUACGGAAAACCUUG